UCUCCAUGGCGUUUAACCAACCCCAGGAGAAGGACUAAAACUUUCCCUUAUUAAACCCGGAUGUGAUAUGGAUGAAAUCACGCCACUUCCACAAAGAGAAGCUGUUUUAUCCUAGAGGAUGCGGACUAUUUGAAACCGCUGCGGCUCAGCCAGAAUUCGUGAAAAAGAUCAUUCCCAAUUGAACCCACUACAAACCUUAACGGAGGAAGAAGAUGCAGUCCUGUACAUUGAUGAAUGGACAACACCAGCAGAUUAGACAAGCCUCUCAGCCCUCGCAAGCUGCUCCUUAUCAUGCCCAUGAUGGAACAAGAAAUCUGCAAUCUUGGACUCCAAAACAAAGCAUUCACUAUCAAGCAAGAAACCUAGGAGUGCAAAAUGCACACGCUGAACAUUUCCCUUUGCACAAUGGAGCUUAUUCUAACAGACAAAUGUCAAAUUUGCAGACUUCUGCAGGAACUUAUCAGGAGGUUUCUUCUCAGCAGAAUGGUGGAGGCAAUAAAAACAGUUAUUUUUCUGGUAUGUUAUUUAACUAUAUUCAAAAUGUAUCAGCUAAUAAGCAAAGUGGAAACCCAUCUUUGCCAGCAUCUGGAUUUCAGAUUCCCACUCUGCAAGACUGUGAUCAGAAUUCAUCAACUCAGAGUCCACCUAACCAGAUGAACUCAAACACUACAUAUCCCCAGCAAGGCAUGUCCACUCAUUGGAAAGAGCCACUGGUUGUUAAUGAGAGACAAAUGAUUGGAACACAGGAUAGAACUGUGACUAAUAUCCAGCAUGUCAGUGUUCAGCAGGGCAUGCAACAGAAUGUGAAUGGAGACUUGACAAAACCCAUUUCAGCGUACACUACACCAACUACCUCAUUUCCACCUGAACGUGGUUUAUGUACCAGCACUAUGAUGUCUGGCUCAGAACAGACUGUGUACCUUGUUUCGAACAAUCAGGUUCAAAGACAAAGCGGCACUCAGCAUGGAUUCUCUCCUGUCAACUCACAGAGUUACAAUAUGGGAACCUCUCAGACUUCAGGAAACAGUAACAUUGCAACAUAUCCACCAUCAAGUGCACAGAAUUCUUACUUUUCCAGCACCAGCCACAAAACUCAGCAACACUCGGCUCAGCACCAAUUAAGAAACAACAAUGGGAUCAAGACUGCCACCUACAGUAACUCAAAUUUUUAUAAAAAGUAUGAAAAUAUUAAUUACUCUGCAGAAAUGAGAGGGCGUCAGAUAAAAACUUAUAAACAACAGAAAGUGAUCAGGCACUCAUUAAGUGCAGAUGGUUUAAAUAAUUCAUGCACUCCUGGGUUUGAUGGUUGUCGUCCUCCUCCACCGUACAGCUAUGCAAAUCACAGACAGCAGCAGUAUGUCAGAACGACCACAAUGGUCUCGUCUAAUCAAUCUAAUAUUCAACCUGGGACUUCGGCUACCCGUAAAAAUUAUAGUAACUUGAAUUCCAUCAAGUUAUUACCCGGGCAUUCUGGACAGUCUUUACCUCAAAGCACUCAAAAUGUAAUGUCAAGAACACAGCACGCUGUAAGUACACCCCAUCAGCAAACCUGUGUACCUAACGGUUUCCACAAAUCUGCUGCAGGAAAUGAAAGAAGCCCAAGUAACGAAAUUCAUCCUAAAAAGAACUGUAGCUUAAUUGAAUUGUUGCUUUGUUCAUCCCUGCUGCCGGAAUCUGUUGACCGCAAGACACAAUCAUCAGUAGCAAGCAGUUUUGAGAUGCUGUCAUCAGUCCAGUUAAAUGACAGCUCCAUUCACUCAUCACCUGGAAAUGCCAGCACCAAAGCUAUUGCUGUUGUACAACCACUGCCAUCACUGGAAGGUCAGCUUCACAAUGACCAUGCUUCUUCUGAUUCCACAGCAGGAGACUCUUUAAACAACCCUAAGGAAACUUUUGUUUUAGAUACCACAGCAAUUAACAAAACGCUGCCAUCUUCAGAGUCAGGGACACAAAACACAGGAAAACAACCUGAACUGGAUGUUAAUGUUCAAAAUUCAAUUCCAUCCCAAGAAUCAGUAUGCCAAAAUUCUCCUGAAGACCAAAGUGGGAUCCAGACACUUUCAACAUCACCCGUUUCUGAUCUUUCCGCACUCCCAACAUCCCCAUGGACAUUAUUGGCACUAACGAAGUUGAUAAAAGAUGCAGAAAAGAAUCAGAAAGAGCUCAGCGAUUUGAAAGAAUUACACACUGCACAAAAAAUUAUAGACCUGUUUUGGGAGGGAAAACUUGAAACACUGCAAAUGUACUCAUGCAAGGUAGGCUUUCUCAAGGUUUUAGAAGUUAAAGAAUUCUGCCAAAAACAUUUAACAGCCAACUCUGUUGUACUGUUGCAGGUAGAUGGCAAUUUUGAGGAGCAAAUGGAAAGCUACCAUGUCCUCAAAGACAAUGAAGUAUUUUCAGAAUUGCCUUACAAAUCAUCAUGGUUAAAUCUAAAUGAGCAGUUGGAUGAAAUAGACAAAGAAUUUGGUUUCCCAUUGUCUCUGAAACAUCACACUUCAUUGCUUGAGAGUGAUGGCCAGAAAGAUCAGAUGCACAUCAACAACAGUGAUCCUGCAAUUAUGAGUAAAGUGCCAAGCAAGAUCUUGCCAUCAACACAUUUUGAACCCGUUGAUUCAAAUGAAGGAAAAGAAGCCACCACACUCAAACCCCCCUCCAUUCAAACUCCCUCCUCUAAUCAGACAGAUGAUGCCAGUGACCCAUGUUUGUCCCUGAAAAUCCAAGUUAUGCCUCCAGAAGAAGCCAAACGUUACCAUGAGCAAAGCGAAAAUGAGAUGCCACAAAGUAUGGAUGCAGAGAGGGUCGUAAGUAGUUCCACGGAGAGUGAGACACCUGAUAAUACAGAGUCCACAUCGUGGGAAUCAAAAUUGGAAACUGUGGAAAUUGGCAUAAGUCAGUCGCUUUGCUGUCUUACAAAGCUGUUGAAAAUGACUAUAGGAUCAAGUACAUCUUAUGAUUGUAAAUGCCACAGCCAGAAAGAACAAAAGUUUGGAAAAGGGUUAAAAAAUACCAGUGAUAGUGGCGAAACAGUUGUACUAAAGCACAAUAACCAGCUUGGGAAGGAUCCAGUAAAGGACAAGGAGAACACUGAUGAUCAAGUUGUGACAUUUAGUGGUUCUGAGCUUUGCAGCUUUCUUGGUCAAACCAUAGAUUUGACUGAAGUUGAUGACCAACCUCAAUUGCCUUCUGAACAAAAUUCUAAGAACCACUCCAAAAUAGCCAAUACCAGUCAUUCAGGUAUUAUAAUUAUAAGUGAUGAAGAUGAAGAUCUCUCCAGUGGUGAAAAUGAAAUUCUUAGCCAGAAGACAGAUCUUGCCAUAAAGAUGUCUGAACCUUACGAUAAGUGUGGACAAGAACAACCAACGUCUACAGCAUCGAGUCUGUCAGGUGCCUCAGUCAGUACUAACAAAGCUGAAACUGAAAAGUUCUGCAGCACUGAGACUGAGAUUGCCAUCCAGAUCCUGGAUCAUGACAGGAGUUGUGAAGAAGCUUUAGAUGUGCCAGUGUCACCUUUGGAAACCAAAGAGCAAUCUCAAAUCUGUGCUGAAGGUGACUUUAAAGUAUCUGUCAAGCAUAAAAAAAUCAAAAGAAAACACAAGAGACUCGAAUGGGAUGAUGAAUUUGGUCCACCCCAAAAGGAAUCAAAGAAAUGCAACUUGCCUGUUGAUCUUAAUUUAGAAAAUGCCCUUGAUGAUGUUUCAAAAUGUGAAAAGGAGCCUGCUGUUGAAGCUGAAGCUCUCAAUAUAGACUCAAAAAGAACUGCAGAACUGGUGCUGUUUGGCUCAGCUCAACAAGACAAGUGUGCUUUAACUGGCAGCAGAAAAGCCCAUUUCCGUUUUGUAAAGGGUGCAUCUAAGGCAGCACACCUGAGGCCUCCAGAAGUUCUUACUGUCAAUCUCAACCCUUUGAGUAGCAAGUCCAGUGACAUGGUGUACAAGAGGAAUUAUUCAGUAAAACAGCUAAUUCAUGACAAAUGGUGGAGAAGUUUUCAACAGACUAAAGCUAGUCACAAAAAAACCCGUAAACAUCGUUCUUACUCUGUUGCCGGGGGUAUCUUGAUGAAACGAGAUGGAAUUAAGGAAUCCCGGAGUCUGAAGACGCUUGGAGAGGAGAAGAAGGAUAUCACUGCUGAUAAUAAGAGGUGUUCCUCUAAAAGUGAAAGCCAAAAUGUCAAACCUUGCCAGGAGCACAUAGUCUUGAGGUUCAGUGUUCUACCCAGUAACUUUGACCUCAAAGAUGGAUCCAGUGGCAGGAAGCAAUCCACCAAUCCCAUUUCAGGUAAAUACCAUAGAUAGAGGGGGUACCGUUAUUCUAAUAUUGCCCACAAUAAAGUUGAUUUGAUGAUGAUGAUGAUGAUGAUGAUGAUGAUUAUUAUCUAUUGAAAAGAAUGGAUCACAGAAGGCAGAUUUUUGGUUUAUUUUGGUAAAAACUGUGAUCUCUCCAGAUGGUGCAGACCCAUUCUUUUUGGUAAAGAUCCAAAUUUAUGAAGCUAAAAGUAUUCUUUAAAAAUUUAAAAUUUCAAUGCUUUAUUGUAAUUCACGUAUAACGCCUCAGUUUUGUUUUGUUUUUGUUUUUUUUGUUGUUUUUUUUUUGUUUGUUUUUUAUUGCAUGUUAGAAGGGUGAUUGGCAAAUAUAUUGUUGGAGUGUCCACAUAAAGCAGGGACAUUCAACAUAAAUUGACCCAGAAAAGACUAAUGACAUCUCUGCUCCUCGAUGGGUCAUAGUUGGAGUGGGAUACUGGUGUCUUGCAGAUUAGAGUGGUGGUAAACAUGGGAACUGGAAAGUACUGUUUGUUUUUUCUUUUUCUUUGAGACGGACAACAAAAUUUAUUUUAAGGAAAUUUUGAAUCUGUCUUUCCAGAAGAGCCAGAGAAAGAGCAGAGCGCUGCUACAGCUGCUGCAAAACCGAAAGGUAGCAACUACAUCUGAAGCAUACAUCAGUUCUUAUUCUGCCUUUUUAAAAAUUUUAUUAAUUAGGCAGUUUUUGUCUAAUGGUUAUUAAUUACAUCAUAGGUAAAUGGAGUUCGAGUCUGCAGAAGAAUCGACCUCGACCUAUUCCCAAGACCUUCAGUCUCUUCCACGAGUAUCAGAAGAAAUACAAGGAGCGCUCUCACUCAAAAGAUUAAUAAUGUGAAAGAUGUCUCUUCUCAGGGAAUACUUUUUUUUUUUUUUUUUUUUCCAUUUAAGACAUUUAGUACAAAGAUUCUGACUAAAAUUAUGCCUUUGUGUUUUUUUCUGCAGUGUAUAUACAAGCAAUACAUUAAGGCUGUGCAACCUUUUGUUGUUUACAUGCCUGUAAAAAGCAUUACAGUCAUGGAGCAGGUGUAGUUACUGACUUGUGGGAUGUGGGAACUUGGCAGCCUUUACAAAUUUGUUCAAGUGAUGACAUUCUGUUCGUCAUUGAUUAUUAUUGUGUCACUGCUCCUUGUCGGUUCACCACUGUACUCGCGACAGACAUGAAAGGAAUACAUGGUAUUUGCUGUCGGUGCAGUUCUGUUUAAUGAGCUGAGAAGCUCUGAAGAUGCAUGACACUGCAUAGUUUGUCUUGUGUCUGUGCAUCAGAGAGUGCAUGCAGACUUUAGAUGGUAAGUCCACAUGUUCAGAGCCAUGUUCAAAUUAACAAGUGAUAUCCAUGAAAGGGGGUGUAAGUCUAAAAUCUUUGUUGUUGUUUUUUUGACAAAAAACUUGACUUGUAACAUUUGCAUUGUGAGUUUUUUACUGUUUUUCUACACUUUCAGUAUUUGUACUCUAACCAUUUUUUAAAAUUUUUUUAUUAUUGUUUCUACGAUUAAAUUAUCCAUUUUUAAUGUGGUUUUGUCUUUGUCUAAACUAAUAGUAGGUAUUAUAAUUGAUUUAUAAGCUGCAAUAGUUGUUUAGCAUUAAAGGGAAAUGGCGUAGUUCCUGGAAAUAAUCUGAAACAAACCCAAAUUACAGGAAGGUGAAAUGCCCAUUAACGGUUUUAUUCUGCUCCUUGCAACGAUCCUCUUUGUUGAUCUUAUUGUAUUGUUUGAUAUCAAAUCAAAAAUGUUUAUGCAUGUUUUUACUUUAUAGCAGUUUUCUGGAAAUUACCCCAUAUGGAAAAGAAAUAGUAAAAACUUAUAUGAUUUACUCAUGAAAGUGGCCACUUUCUCAUUACUUUCAUAUGUUGUUUUAGUAAGUAUCCAAAACAUACAAGUUUCAUUUAUAUAAUUUUUCAAGGGAUC
ensembl:lncRNA